rnacentral:tRNA from 1 species
ACCAGUUUGGCCUAUUGGUUAAGGCCCCAGGCUAGAAACCAGGAGACAGUGAGUUCUAAUCCCAUUUUAGGCA